rnacentral:rRNA from 1 species
UACAGAGGGGGCAAGCGUUGUUCGGAAUUACUGGGCGUAAAGGGCGCGUAGGCGGCCUUCUAAGUCGAACGUGAAAUCCCCGGGCUCAACCCGGGAACUGCGUCCGAGACUGGAAGGCUUGAAUCCGGGAGAGGGAUGUGGAAUUCCAGGUGUAGCGGUGAAAUGCGUAGAUAUUAGGAAGAACACCAGUGGCGAAGGCGGCUCACUGGUCCGGUACUGACGCUGAGGUGCGAAAGCGUGGGGAGCAAACAGG